rnacentral:rRNA from 1 species
GUAGGUGGCAAGCGUUGUCCGGAAUUAUUGGGCGUAAAGCGCGCGCAGGCGGUUCUUUAAGUCUGAUGUGAAAGCCCACGGCUCAACCGUGGAGGGUCAUUGGAAACUGGAGAACUUGAGUGCAGAAGAGGAAAGCGGAAUUCCACGUGUAGCGGUGAAAUGCGUAGAGAUGUGGAGGAACACCAGUGGCGAAGGCGGCUUUCUGGUCUGUAACUGACGCUGAGGCGCGAAAGCGUGGGGGAGCAAACAGGAUUAGAUACCCUGGUAGUCCACGCCGUAAACGAUGAGUGCUAAGUGUUAGGGGGUCUCCGCCCCCCCCUUAGUGCUGCAGCUAACGCAUUAAGCACUCCGCCUGGGAGUACGGCCGCAAGGCUG